GGGGAAACGAGAUGAGAGCCAUCUGAGUCCACCUCCACGCGUGUUUAUUUUACCUUGUUGCUUCGGCGGGCCCGCCUUAACUGGCCGCCGGGGGGCUUACGCCCCCGGGCCCGCGCCCGCCGAAGACACCCUCGAACUCUGUCUGAAGAUUGAAGUCUGAGUGAAAAUAUAUAUUAUUUAAAACUUUCAACAACGGAUCUCUUGGUUCCGGCAUCGAUGAAGAACGCAGCGAAAUGCGAUACGUAAUGUGAAUUGCAAAUUCAGAUGAAUCAUCGAGUCUUUGAUCGUACAUUGCGCCCCCUGGUAUUCCGGGGGGCAUGUCUGUCCGAGCGUGAUUGCUGCCAUCAAGCCCGGCUUGUGUGUUGGGCCCCGUCCCCCGAUCUCCGGGGGACGGGCCCGAAAGGAGUGCGGCGGCACCGCGUCCUGUCCUCGAGGGUAUGGGGCUUUGUCACCCGCUGUGUAGGCCCGGCCGGCGAUAGCCGAUAAAACCAAAUUUAUAGGGAGGUUGACUUCCGAUAGGGGUAAGGACACGACUGUGAACUUGUGCAUGUCUAUAAGAAGAUAAUUAAGUACGAUAGUAUGGUGGUUAGAUUCGCCAUGUUGAUUUCCCUUGUUGCAUCGCGGGCCCCUUUAUGGCGGCGGGGGGUUAAGGCCUGGCCCCCCCACAAAAAUCCUUUAUUGAGAUGAAGACGAAAACUUAAUGAAAAUUAAAUUUUUUAAAAACUUCCACAAGGGACUUUGGGUUCCACGAAAAAAAAAAACGAAAUGGAUAUCUAUAGUGUAAUGGCCCAUUAAUUGAAAAUCUAAUCCUUUUAACCCAUUUUUCCGUGUAUUCGGGGGGGGGUAGCUUUUAAAAGUUUUUUUUCCAAACCGGGUGGUUUUUUGUUCGCUUCCCCUCUUCUGUGAAAGAUCAAAAAAAUAAUCCCUCUUCCCCUUGCCCCGUGUAAUUGGGGUAUUUUUAUCUUUUUUUUCCGCGCCCACUUGGGACAAUCACUAAUUU
rnacentral:misc_RNA from 1 species